CAGUAGCCGCGGUAACACCGAGGGUGCGAGCGUUAAUCGGAUUUACUGGGCGUAAAGCGUGCGUAGGCGGCUUUUUAAGUCGGAUGUGAAAUCCCUGAGCUUAACUUAGGAAUUGCAUUCGAUACUGGGAAGCUAGAGUAUGGGAGAGGAUGGUAGAAUUCCAGGUGUAGCGGUGAAAUGCGUAGAGAUCUGGAGGAAUACCGAUGGCGAAGGCAGCCAUCUGGCCUAAUACUGACGCUGAGGUACGAAAGCAUGGGGAGCAAACAGGAUUAGAUACCCGCGUAGUCCCUGUCUCUUAUAC
rnacentral:rRNA from 1 species